ensembl:lncRNA
UGCCGUAUUUUUUAACAAACAUUUGUAUAUCUUUUUGUCCUCUUGGCUUAUAUAACUAAUUUCUUCGUUGAGGUUUUAAAAUUUCUCUGGUGGUGUUUAUUCAUUUUUUGAUGGCCACAUUUUUCUGGAGGGUGAUCAUCCAAUGUUUAGUUUUUCUCCCUCUAUUCUUUUUUGUUGUAAUGUGUUUAUUGUAUAGAUUCUAUGAUAGUUCCUUUUUUAAAAAAAUAAUUAUUUCAUUCACUUAAAAAAAUAUUUGAGAGAGACAGGUAGAGCUCUCAUCUGCUUGUUCACUCCCCAGAUGUAAUCAGUAACUGAGUCUGGCCCCAGGACUGAAGCCAGAAGCUGGGAACAGAGUCCAGGUCUUCCACAUGGAUGAAAGAGAGCCAAGAAGCUGGAGUCAGGAAGCAGCGCUGGGAAUGGAACCCAGACCCAAAGCAUGAGCCUGGUGUGCAGCAAGGUGUUGAGGACACAAAGGAAAACAGUAGAAUUUUCAUAAGUGGCCAUUUCAGCAGAGCACGAGAUUUGCCACUGAGAAGGAAGCACAGAUAGUACUUGAGAGCAUUUUCUUUCAAGAACCAGAGAAGGAGCCACCAGAUGAAUCAGUGAAGGAAGAACAUCAAGGCUGAAAGUAUCUGGGGUAAGCUCCAUUUUUAUUUCAAUCAGUGGAACUAGUUAUGACAGACACUUAAGCUUGUUUAUGAUUGACAACAGCCCUGGUUAGUCGUUUUGUUAAGUCCUGUGUCUUUUUACUCUUACAACAAAAUAUCUGGGGACACUUGCAUUGAUUUUCUUUAUUUAUUUUAAAAUGUUUACCUAUUUAAUUAAUUUCAAAGAAAGCCAGAGAGAGAUAGAGAGAGAGAGAAGGAGAGAGAGAGAGGGAGAGAGAGAGGGUGACUACUUCAGUCUGCUCAUUCAUUCCCCAAAUGCUCACAAUAGCUGGGGCUGGGCCAGACUGAAGCCAGGAGCCAGUAGCUCUAUCUAGGUCUUGUGCAUGGGUGGCAGAAACCGAAGUACUUGAACUAUCAUCUGCUGCAUCACAGGUGCACAUGAUCAGAAAGCUGGAGUCAGGAACAGAGCCAGGAUUCAAACUCAGGUACACUGAUAUGGGAUGCAGACACCAGUGGUGUUUUAGCAACUAGGCCAAAAGUCUGUCUUUGUAUUAUUUUAAAGGAGAGCUUAUGGAGGAAGAUGAGGGUGGUGUCACUUAUCCAAAUACUAUUUAGCAGUUAAUUUUUUUGAAGAUUUAUUUAUUUAUUUGAAAAUCAGAGCUAUACAGAGAGAUAAGGAGGGUCUGAGAAAGAGAGGGAGGUCUUCCAUCAUCUGGUUCACUCCCCAAUUGGCCGCAAUGGUUGGAGCUGUGCCUAUCCGAAGCCAGGAGCCAGGAGCUUCUUCUGGGUCUCCCACGCAGGUGCAGGGGCCUAAGGACUUGGGCUAUCUUCUACUACUUUCCCAGCCCAUAGCAGAGAGCUAGUUCAGAAGUAGAGCAGCUGGAACUCAAACCAGCACCCAUAUGGGAUGCUGGCAGUGCAGGCGGCAGCUUUACCCACUGUGUCACAGUGCUGGCCCCUAGCAGUUGAUUUAGAGGAAAAGAAUGUGUCUGGGAAGUGGCAGGGAAUACAGAGGAGAUGGGGGCAGUUCUAGGGGUCCUGUAGAAUAAUAGCAUAAUAAUUAAUACUACCAUUUUCUGAGUUCUUUGUGCCAAAUGUAAUGCAAAGUGCUUCGCAUAAGAUAAGUACUAUUGAUAAUCCUAUGUUAGAGAUGGGUGAGGCUCAGAGUAGAGCAAGGUGAUCCACAACCCUGGCUGAAUGGUGAGUGGAAAAAUAAUGAUCUGCAACUUCCUCCCAGCUCAGCACCAUGGACAGCAGAUUCUGUGGUCUGCAGUGUCUUGAGUAAGAUGCUACAGGGUGAACCUCCAUGUACAGGAAAUCAGAAAUGCUUUUGAGUGAGUUAUUUAUAACAUACCCACCCCUUCCUCUAGAAUAAGUUUUGAUAACCAGAAGACAUAUUUUUUAAUUUUUGUUUUUUUCUAAGGACUUGAUAGUGUGGGCGUGGAGAUUGUAUUGGCUGGGCAGCUUGGGAUGUGAACACUUGAAGACAAGAUCUGGUAAAAAGCCACAUUGUUUUAGUAUAUGUGCUGCUGAAGCCAGCGUAAGAGCCACAUUGUUUUGCCCAAUAAAGCAACAACAAAAGAUGUGGAGGCUGAGUUG